rnacentral:rRNA from 1 species
AAACUGGAGGAAGGUGGGGAUGACGUCAAAUCAUCAUGCCCCUUAUGACCUGGGCUACACACGUACUACAAUGGCCGGUACAACGGGAAGCGAAGUCGCGAGAUGGAGCGAAUCCUUAGAAGCCGGUCUCAGUUCGGAUUGCAGGCUGCAACUCGCCUGCAUGAAGUCGGAAUUGCUAGUAAUCGCGGAUCAGCAUGCCGCGGUGAAUACGUUCCCGGGUCUUGUACACACCGCCCGUCACACCACGAGAGUUUACAACACCCGAAGUCGGUGGGGUAACCGCAAGGAGCCAGCCGCCGAAGGUGGGGUAGAUGAUUGGGGG